rnacentral:rRNA from 1 species
GACGAACGCUGGCGGCGUGCCUAAUACAUGCAAGUAGGACGCAGUUGCGAACGGGUGAGUAACGCGUAGGUAACUGCCUAUUAGAGGGGGAUAACUAUUGGAAACGAUAGCUAAUACCGCAUACUAGUAGAUGGACCUGCGUUGUAUUAUCUAGUAGGUGGGGUAAUGGCCUACCUAGGCAACGAUACAUAUACGACCUGAUAGGGGUAUCGGCCACAACGGGAAUGAGACCAUGCUCCGACUCCUUCGGGAGGCAGCAGGAGGGAAUCAUCGGCCAUGGGGGGAAACCUGACCGAGGAACGCCGCGUUGGUGAAGAAGGUUUUCGGAUCGGAAAGCUCCGUUGUUAGGGCAGCGGUACUUACCGAGAAAGGGACGGCUAACGACGUGCCAGCAGCCGCGGUAAUUC